GUGCCAGCAGCCGCGGUAAUACGUAGGGUGCGAGCGUUAAUCGGAAUUACUGGGCGUAAAGCGUGCGCAGGCGGUUUUGUAAGACAGACGUGAAAUCCCCGGGCUUAACCUGGGNAACUGCGUUUGUGACUGCAAGGCUAGAGUAUGGCAGAGGGGGGUAGAAUUCCACGUGUAGCAGUGAAAUGCGUAGAUAUGUGGAGGAAUACCGAUGGCGAAGGCAGCCCCCUGGGUCAAUACUGACGCCCAUGCACGAAAGCGUGGGGAGCAAACAGGAUUAGAUACCCUGGUAGUCC
rnacentral:rRNA from 1 species